rnacentral:rRNA from 1 species
AUACGGAGGGUGCAAGCGUUAUUCGGAAUUAUUGGGCGUAAAGAGCGCGUAGGCGGCCUGUCAAGUCAGGUGUGAAAUCCCGGGGCUCAACCCCGGAAGCGCAUUUGAUACUGUAGGGCUUGAGUAUGGGAGAGGGAAGUGGAAUUCCUGGUGUAGCGGUGAAAUGCGUAGAUAUCAGGAGGAACACCGGUGGCGAAGGCGGCUUCCUGGACCAAUACUGACGCUCAUGCACGAAAGCGUGGGUAGC